rnacentral:lncRNA from 1 species
AAAUGUGAACAUUUUAGCAUGUUCGUGUUAUAUUGUUUUUUUUGUUUUUUGGGGGGGGUUUUUUGUUUUUUUUUUUUUUGAGACGGAGUUUCGCUCUAUCACCCAGGCUGGAGUGCAGUGGCGCGAUAUCAGCUCACUGCAACCUCCACCUCCCAGGUUCAAGCGAUUCUCCUGCCUCAGCCUCCCAAGUACCUGGGACUACAGGUGCGUGCCACCACACCCAGCUAAAUUUUGUGUUUUUAGUAGAGAUGGGGUUUCACCAUGUUGGCCAGGAUGGUCUUGAACCCCUGACCUCAUGAUCUGCCUGCCUCGGCCUCCCAAAGUGCUGGGAUUACAGGCAUGAGCCACCACGCCCAGCCAAAAUAUUUUUUUAAAGUCAUUUUCCUUAAGCUGCUUGGGCUACAUGUGAAAUACACUGGACGGUCAACAUUCCUGUCUCCUCCCAUUUGGGCUGAUGCAGCAGAUCCAGGGAAUGUUACCUGUUUCUGCUGCUAGAAGAUCCAGGAAAUUGGGAAGGUUACCUGACGCACACAUGGAUGAAGGCCAUCAUCUAGAAAUGGGGUCAACCACAAUUGUGUUAAUUCCGUAGUGUCAGGGAUUCUUCGGGAAGGUCAACAGUAUGAAGGAUUCUGACCCCUGUGCCUCCCAUUUAUGUGAUCAGGUGACAGUUAAUAACCGUGGAGGUCACACUCAGCCAUCCAACAGCCUUACAGUGACCCUACACAAAAGCCCCCAAAUUCCAAAGACUUUUUCUUAACCUAAAGGAAGAAAUUAUUUGUUAAUUCCAGUAGAGCAACUGAAUAUACUGGGCUAUUUGUACUUUUUUAUAGAGAACUUUAAUAAUAAUUCUUUAAAAAUGAGUUUUUAGAACAAAGCAACUGACGAUUUCCUAAGAUUCCAAUGCCCUGGAGCUUGUAGGAGGACUUAGCCUGGGUCAGCUGGAGCACCCCCGACCUGAUCUCCCACUGCCAGAUUUUCCCAUGCUCCUAGGGUAUGGAGUCCACGUGGGAAUGACUGCAAGUUCAGGUGGAACUUGGCCGACUGAUGCUCUGCGAGUUUUUAAUAGACACUGGGGACAACUGCUUAAGGUUUAGAAACUUCCAAACCACAGGAAAGACAUUUUUAGUGUCCCCCAUCCAGAGGCAGCCCUGGAAUAGGAUUCCCAGGGGUUUCUGGGACCCCUUUCCUUGCUCCGUGAGGCUCUGUGGCCAUCUUUUGGCAGGAGGAGGAUGCUUCCUUGGCUCUGUGCCCAGACCCGCCUGGUCCCCAGGUCUCUCACCUUGGGUGAAGAUUCAGAGAUGCCCUGUAAGGAUUUUGCCCACUGGGCAACUCAGAAAUACUUCGAUCUCCCAAGAUAUAAGAGGCAGCAGCAAACGUGCCUAUUGACGUCUGUUUCAUAGUUACCACUUACGCGAGUAGACAGAACUCGGCUUUUCAGAAAAUAGGUGUCAAGUCCACUUUAUAAGAACCUUUUUUUCUAAAAUAAGAUAAAAGGUGGCUUUGCAUUUUCUGAUUAAACGACUGUGUCUUUGUCACCUCUGCUUAACUUUAGGAGUAUCCAUUCCUGUGAUUGUAGACUUUUGUUGAUAUUCUUCCUGGAAGAAUAUCAUUCUUUUCUUGAAGGGUUGGUUUACUAGAAUAUUCAAAAUCAAUCAUGAAGGCAGUUACUAUUUUGAGUCUAAAGGUUUUCUAAAAAUUAACCUCACAUCCCUUCUGUUAGGGUCUUUCAGAAUAUCUUUUAUAAACAGAAGCAUUUGAAGUCAUUGCUUUUGCUACAUGAUUUGUGUGUGUGAAGGACAUACCACGUUUAAAUCAUUAAUUGAAAAACAUCAUAUAAGCCCCAACUUUGUUUGGAGGAAGAGACGGAGGUUGAGGUUUUUCCUUCUGUAUAAGCACCUACUGACAAAAUGUAGAGGCCAUUCAACCGUCAAACACCAUUUGGUUAUAUCGCAGAGGAGACGGAUGUGUAAAUUACUGCAUUGCUUUUUUUUUCAGUUUGUAUAACCUCUAAUCUCCGUUUGCAUGAUACGCUUUGUUAGAAACAUUAAUUGUAGUUUGGAAGCAAGUGUGUAUGAAUAAAGAUAAUGAUCAUUCCUUUGUGUAGUUGGCCUUAUUUACAUCCCUUUGCGGUAUG